AGAGUUUGAUCCUGGCUCAGAACGAACGCUGGCGGCAGGCUUAACACAUGCAAGUCGAGCGCCCCGCAAGGGGAGCGGCAGACGGGUGAGUAACGCGUGGGAACGUACCAUUUGCUACGGAAUAACUCAGGGAAACUUGUGCUAAUACCGUAUGAGCCCGAAAGGGGAAAGAUUUAUCGGCAAAUGAUCGGCCCGCGUUGGAUUAGCUAGUUGGUGGGGUAAAGGCCUACCAAGGCGACGAUCCAUAGCUGGUCUGAGAGGAUGAUCAGCCACACUGGGACUGAGACACGGCCCAGACUCCUACGGGAGGCAGCAGUGGGGAAUAUUGGACAAUGGGCGCAAGCCUGAUCCAGCCAUGCCGCGUGAGUGAUGAAGGCCCUAGGGAGUAAAGCUCUUUCACCUUUUUGAUAA
rnacentral:rRNA from 2 species